rnacentral:rRNA from 1 species
UGAGGAAUAUUGGUCAAUGGUCGAGAGACUGAACCAGCCAAGUCGCGUGAAGGAAGACGGCCUUAUGGGUUGUAAACUUCUUUUGCAGGGGAAUAAAGACAGGCUCGUGAGCCUGGUUGUAUGUACCCUGCGAAUAAGCAUCGGCUAACUCCGUGCCAGCAGCCGCGGUAAUACGGAGGAUGCGAGCGUUAUCCGGAUUUAUUGGGUUUAAAGGGUGCGUAGGUGGGCUGAUAAGUCAGCGGUGAAAUUUUGGUUGCUUAACAAUAAAACUGCCGUUGAAACUGUCGGUCUUGAGUAUGGAUGAAGUAGGCGGAAUGCGUGGUGUAGCGGUGAAAUGCUUAGAGAUCACGCAGAACUCCGAUUGCGUAGGCAGCUUACUAAGGCAUAACUGACACUGAAGCACGAAAGCGUGGGUAUCAAACAGGAUUAGAUACCCUGGUAGUCCACGCAGUAAACGAUGAUUACUAGGAGUUUGCGAUAGACAGUAAGCUCUACAGCGAAAGCGUUAAGUAAUCCACCU